GGGUUGUGAGGUUAAGCGACUAAGCGUACACGGUGGAUGCCCUGGCAGUCAGAGGCGAUGAAGGACGUGCUAAUCUGCGAAAAGCGUCGGUAAGGUGAUAUGAACCGUUAUAACCGGCGAUGUCCGAAUGGGGAAACCCAGUGUGAUUCGUCACACUAUCGUUAACUGAAUACAUAGGUUAACGAGGCGAACCGGGGGAACUGAAACAUCUAAGUACCCCGAGGAAAAGAAAUCAACCGAGAUUCCCCCAGUAGCGGCGAGCGAACGGGGAGCAGCCCAGAGUCUGAAUCAGCUUGUGUGUUAGUGGAACGGUCUGGAAAGUCCGACGGUACAGGGUGAUAGUCCCGUACACCAAAAUGCACAGGUUGUGAACUCGAAGAGUAGGGCGGGACACGUGGUAUCCUGUCUGAAUAUGGGGGGACCAUCCUCCAAGGCUAAAUACUCCUGACUGACCGAUAGUGAACCAGUACCGUGAGGGAAAGGCGAAAAGAACCCCGGCGAGGGGAGUGAAAAAGAACCUGAAACCGUGUACGUACAAGCAGUGGGAGCACCUUCGGGUGUGACUGCGUACCUUUUGUAUAAUGGGUCAGCGACUUAUAUUCUGUAGCAAGGUUAACCGUAUAGGGGAGCCGCAGGGAAACCGAGUCUUAACUGGGCGUUAAGUUGCAGGGUAUAGACCCGAAACCCGGUGAUCUAGCCAUGGGCAGGUUGAAGGUUGGGUAACACUAACUGGAGGACCGAACCGACUAAUGUUGAAAAAUUAGCGGAUGACUUGUGGCUGGGGGUGAAAGGCCAAUCAAACCGGGAGAUAGCUGGUUCUCCCCGAAAGCUAUUUAGGUAGCGCCUCGUGAACUCAUCUUCGGGGGUAGAGCACUGUUUCGGCUAGGGGGUCAUCCCGACUUACCAACCCGAUGCAAACUACGAAUACCGAAGAAUGUUAUCACGGGAGACACACGGCGGGUGCUAACGUCCGUCGUGAAGAGGGAAACAACCCAGACCGCCAGCUAAGGUCCCAAAGUCAUGGUUAAGUGGGAAACGAUGUGGGAAGGCACAGACAGCCAGGAUGUUGGCUUAGAAGCAGCCAUCAUUUAAAGAAAGCGUAAUAGCUCACUGGUCGAGUCGGCCUGCGCGGAAGAUGUAACGGGGCUAAACCAUGCACCGAAGCUGCGGCAGCGACACUAUGUGUUGUUGGGUAGGGGAGCGUUCUGUAAGCCUGCGAAGGUGACCUGUGAGGGUUGCUGGAGGUAUCAGAAGUGCGAAUGCUGACAUAAGUAACGAUAAAGCGGGUGAAAAGCCCGCUCGCCGGAAGACCAAGGGUUCCUGUCCAACGUUAAUCGGGGCAGGGUGAGUCGACCCCUAAGGCGAGGCCGAAAGGCGUAGUCGAUGGGAAACAGGUUAAUAUUCCUGUACUUGGUGUUACUGCGAAGGGGGGACGGAGAAGGCUAUGUUAGCCGGGCGACGGUUGUCCCGGUUUAAGCAUGUAGGCUGAUUAUCCAGGCAAAUCCGGAUAAUCAAGGCUGAGGUGUGAUGACGAGGCACUACGGUGCUGAAGUAACAAAUGCCCUGCUUCCAGGAAAAGCCUCUAAGCAUCAGGUAACAUCAAAUCGUACCCCAAACCGACACAGGUGGUCAGGUAGAGAAUACCAAGGCGCUUGAGAGAACUCGGGUGAAGGAACUAGGCAAAAUGGUGCCGUAACUUCGGGAGAAGGCACGCUGGUGUGUAGGUGAAGUCCCUGCGGAUGGAGCUGAGACCAGUCGAAGAUACCAGCUGGCUGCAACUGUUUAUUAAAAACACAGCACUGUGCAAACACGAAAGUGGACGUAUACGGUGUGACGCCUGCCCGGUGCCGGAAGGUUAAUUGAUGGGGUUAUCCGUAAGGAGAAGCUCUUGAUCGAAGCCCCGGUAAACGGCGGCCGUAACUAUAACGGUCCUAAGGUAGCGAAAUUCCUUGUCGGGUAAGUUCCGACCUGCACGAAUGGCGUAAUGAUGGCCAGGCUGUCUCCACCCGAGACUCAGUGAAAUUGAACUCGCUGUGAAGAUGCAGUGUACCCGCGGCAAGACGGAAAGACCCCGUGAACCUUUACUAUAGCUUGACACUGAACAUUGAGCCUUGAUGUGUAGGAUAGGUGGGAGGCUUUGAAGCGUGGACGCCAGUCUGCGUGGAGCCAACCUUGAAAUACCACCCUUUAAUGUUUGAUGUUCUAACGUGGGCCCCUGACCGGGGUUGCGGACAGUGUCUGGUGGGUAGUUUGACUGGGGCGGUCUCCUCCCAAAGCGUAACGGAGGAGCACGAAGGUUAGCUAAUCCUGGUCGGACAUCAGGAGGUUAGUGCAAUGGCAUAAGCUAGCUUGACUGCGAGCGUGACGGCGCGAGCAGGUGCGAAAGCAGGUCAUAGUGAUCCGGUGGUUCUGAAUGGAAGGGCCAUCGCUCAACGGAUAAAAGGUACUCCGGGGAUAACAGGCUGAUACCGCCCAAGAGUUCAUAUCGACGGCGGUGUUUGGCACCUCGAUGUCGGCUCAUCACAUCCUGGGGCUGAAGUAGGUCCCAAGGGUAUGGCUGUUCGCCAUUUAAAGUGGUACGCGAGCUGGGUUUAGAACGUCGUGAGACAGUUCGGUCCCUAUCUGCCGUGGGCGCUGGAGAAUUGAGGGGGGCUGCUCCUAGUACGAGAGGACCGGAGUGGACGCAUCACUGGUGUUCGGGUUGUCAUGCCAAUGGCACUGCCCGGUAGCUAAAUGCGGAAGAGAUAAGUGCUGAAAGCAUCUAAGCACGAAACUUGCCCCGAGAUGAGUUCUCCCUGAGACUAUAAGUCUCCUGAAGGAACGUUGAAGACGACGACGUUGAUAGGCCGGGUGUGUAAGCGCAGCGAUGCGUUGAGCUAACCGGUACUAAUGAACCGUGAGGCUUAACCUUACAACGCCGAAG
rnacentral:rRNA from 1 species